rnacentral:lncRNA from 1 species
CACAUCUAUCUAAUCAGAUUUCUCAUGGAUCUAUCCCAGUUUUAAGGUUAACCAAAAGAAAAAUAGGUUAAUUACAUGAGUUUCAAACUGAAAUUUGGAUGAAUAAUCCGUUUAUUUAGUUUUAUCUUUUUUCCCACCUUCAGAAGAAUAAAGCAUAGGCAUUUCUACUACUGGUAGAAUUUUCUGAAAGGUAACUAUCUCGGUUUCAUAGAUAAAUUUAUAUAGAAUCUUUGAAAAAGACUUUUUUUCAUAAGAAAGAAAAUACUUACUAUCUUUGGGAUUUGAUCCUACACCUACAGCCCCAUAGCACCUUGGGCACACCUCUACAUCAUACUUAAUUACGAACACAUGAUCUUAUACUCUUACAUACACUAUUCAGGUCUACUAGAUCACCUCCAUAUAUUUAGCAUCAACAACCGAACCAUCAACUGUUCAAACUUAAUGUCUAGAACUAAACAUGAUUUACAACCCAAUCUCACACACAAAUUUCAAUUCAAUACUAUAGAACAUAGCAUUAAGAAAAACUAGUACACAAUAACAAUCGAUCAUAAUCAUAUGGCCUAUCUUAUUCAUAAUCUGUUAACAGAUCCUCCUUUUUCACAUCAUUACUAUUUACCUAUCUUCAUACCUAAACUAUUUUCAUAGCUCUAUAAAUUUGAACUAAACUUCCUCUUGCAAUCUCAGGAAAGCCUAAAUUAACAAUACUCAACCACCAAGUACUUCCAUCAAAACCUAUACUUUCCUAGCACAACAAAUACCAUUAAUAACUCUUUUCAUACUUCAAGCAAACAACAAUCCAACUUCACUAAUAAUCUCCUUCUCUAACUUCACUAAACUAACAAACAAGGGUAUAUCACUUCAUUUCUAAUUCAAUCAUAAGCAAAACUUCAGCUAUACAUAUUCAAUAAAUUGCCCUUACUACCAUUCUUGCCACUACACUUCUAAACUCAUAAGUUCAACUAACACAAGACUUUUAACUAAAUGUUACUACUUUUGUCACUACACAGAAACCUACACUUUCAACUAACGCCUGAACAACAAGAUAAACAACAAGUUGCUAGUGAAUCGAAAUACGCCUCACACGGCUUCACUAGACUUUGGUUUUGUGUUUUGUUUAAUAAAAUUAUAUGAAUAACAAAGCAACUAUGCAAGUGAAUCAAAAUAGGCCUAACACGGCUUCACUAGACUUUGAUUUUUCACAAACAUAAUGAUAAUAUGAUUACAUAAUACAAGAGAUUGAAACUUGACACACAACAUUCAACGAUCUAAGAAUACACCUUACUCCGUUUUCAUUAAAUAACUCAUAAGAACAAGGGCAUAACUUAAAUUUGAAGGACUUAUAGCACACUAGAAGGCUUCUCUCAAGCCACUUUAUGAAACUUCUAAAACUUCUUCCAGCAAAUAUAAGAGCAUUAUUUGGGGAGGAAAUUGGAACUUACCGAAUAUGUUACCUCAAGAAUAGUACAUAGAUAGAGAAGUAUAGAUCAUCAUUAUGGAUUCUGAGGAGAAAUUUGAAAGCAUAUCUGACUCAGGCUUAAUGCAUGAUUUCUACAAGCCUGAUAAAACACUUUAAUUUUUUGGAACUCAAAAGUACUGAUAGAAUACUUCUGUAACUCUCUUAAAAUUCCAUAACUAACUAUGGAGAAUUAAGCUCAACUAUUUCUGAUACCUUAGAAAUAAGGAAGAUGUGGUCUGAGUAGAGUAAGAUAAGAAUCUGUAUAAGUUUCUUGGAGAUCUUUUUGAUAGCUCAAUUUAAGACUUAACGAAUAGAGACAUUUCCUAAAUGCUCAGUAGCUUCUCGAAGAAAAGUACAGACGUCUCCGUAUCGUUCCGCAAGACUCUACUAGACAUGGCUUCAUAGACACCCUAGGACACUUGAACUUUGUACAUUGAUAUGAAGUUUGUAACGACCCAAAAUUGGGUCUUGAGAUGUCACACGGUGCUUAAGAUCACAAGUGACCCUAAUAUAACCCUUCUACUGGCACAACUCAUAAGCAACUGAACAAAAAUUAUAAAUCUGUACAAAUAUAUGGAAAAUAACUCUUUUCUGAAUAUGAUAGAUGCAAAACUAAAUUUACAAGAUUACAACUUUGCUUUUACAACCAAAACUAUAUGUGAAGCCUCUGCUAGUACUGACUAUAGGUAACCGGGUCAUGACUCCCAACUAACCCAACUCAAUACAAUUGAAUAAAGAGAAUACAACACUUCACAAACUAUAUAACUAACUCAAGCCCUUGAAUUGAAAGGACUCAUCACCUACUGACUGGAUGUCGCAAACUAACUGGAUCUGAAGAUGUACACUAUACCUUGUACGUAUAUUUCAAGAACAUAUAGCCCACAUAAAAAUAUAUGGGUCAGUACCAUGGAAAUGUACCGAGCAUAUGAGGGUGCAAUGCAUAUAUAAAAUAAUGUCUUAAUAUUAUCACAGUUUAUAAAAUUAUGCAUGCUGAUAUAAAUGACUCACUUACCUCGAAUUAAAAUCAUCAUAGUCAUAAAAGAGUAAAAUAUAUCGAGUAAAACAUCUGAGUCAUCAUAAUAAAUCUCAAUUAACUUCUAUCUCGAUUCCAAAUCAUCAAAGCAAUCAAAUCUCAUAACAAUUCUCUUUGGAAUGUAUGUUCAUUAAAUCUUUCAAAAACAAUGACUUUCACAAACUCAGUCUUUCAAACAAAUAUGUUCUCAUCUCAGAUAGAAGAAUAAGACUUUUCAUAUUAGAUAGGAGAAUACACACACACACAUUAGGAGAUCUCAUAACUGACAUAAACUAUGUGAGCCACAUGGAGUCCAACGUACAACCCAUGUUAGGGAGAUCCAUCCUAUCCUUUCCAUUGGAGUAGGACUAUAAUUAUCAAAUCCAAAAACUACUGAUCACUAUAUAUAAUCAGCCUCAAUUCUACGUCCUACGGGGGUACAUAGUUCUAGGGAAGUACCAACACAGCUAUACCUCCCACUCGGUGCUAAAGACUACUCCCGGACUUAGGUCAGAUCUUUUCAUAGAAAAUCCACCAUAAAAUAAUUCAGCAAUUCACAACAGGAGCCAUCAUGCUACCCUUUUUUCAUAAUAAAUCAAAAUGUGGAUUUCUUUUCUCAUUCGAGUUCAGAAAUAACUUUUUCAAGACCAAAAGGUCAAAUAAUUCAAAUCCCAAGGUAUGCAUAAGACAUUACUUUCACAUAAAUCAUAAUUCUCAAAUAGGGUUCAAAACCUAUAUAUCAAUACUUGAGUAAAAUAUUUCAAGAUUCACACUUUAUGUAGCAAACAUGUAUAAUUCAUAUGAAAAGCUGGAGAUUCAACUUCAAACAUGAUAUUAACAUCAAAACUUAAGGAAUUUAUCUUCAUGAUAUCAUAUAAAUAUAAUAGUUUUUUGAACAAGAACGUUGGAUAAUAGUUUCUAUCUCAAAUUCAUAUGAACACAUGUAAAAUCAUAUAUCUUUAUAAAAUAAUGAUAAUUUUGGGCGCAAGAACGAAAGGAUGUUCUUGUUGAAAAACCCCACAUACCUUAAACUUGAAGCCUUGAAUGAACUCUUUACCUUGGGACUCUCUUAGUGAAAAUAAUGAGUGUUUCUUGUAGCCCUCGGAAUGGGGAUUCCGAAUCUCGAAUAAUUAUUGAAAACUCAUGGUAAAAUCUUGAGAUAUUUAAAUUUUUAGGUUGAAACCCUAAUGAAUGUUCUUGGUGAUUUUGAGAUAAAGUAAACUUAUUUUGGUGUUAUGUGAGUUUAAUCCUAUGUUAUAGACAUAUAUAAGGGUGUUUUUGGCACUUGGAAGUGAGGUAUGCGGCACAUUACUUAUCGGACUCAUUUAAGUAUGCGCUACAUUUCUUAUCACACACCUAUUCCAGUAGCUAUGUGCGAUUGGUUAGGCAACACACUCUACUUCAGAAAGCCAUAACUCCUUUCUCGGGUGUCAGAAUUUUAUGAAAUUGGUAUCAUUGGAAAGAUAAAUCUAUUAUAUACAAUUUGAUAGGUCUUGGGAUGAAAACUUCCAUGUAUAUUAAGAGAUAUUCACGUUUGAAGUUAAACCUUGUAGAAUAGAAUGUCAAACUUUUGAUGAAUCAAUAGUUCUUAGCUCAACUUUGUUCUAGGUCAUUGCUAUGAACAUUUUAUACCUCUAAACUACUCUAUAGACUAGGAUAAUGAUCAUGUAACUUGUAUUCAUGUGAGAAUGACUUGGAUUAGAGCUUAGACGCGCAGGAACGAAGGUUAGAAUUCCAGCACAAAAAUACGGGGUGUUACGUACACCUUGAUCCCUAACUUGUGACACAUCACGAGUCUGGGUCUCAGAAACCUUCUCACAUAUCACUGAAGCAUGUGUCCUGGGCAUCUGCGAAAGGGUAAAGUCAACAGAAUAUCCUACAAACCGACUUAGACUCUUAGCAUGAUAUGAGUGGGAUAAAUGAAGGGCCCCUAAGAAUGUCUCAUAGCCUCCCAAAGAUAGGAAAUGGAUGUCAACAUUCCGAUCCACAGAACUCUAUUAGACACUUUCUCUUAUACAAAUAAUAUCGAUAAAACCUAGGCUCUGAUACCAAUUUGUCAUGACAUGAUUCCCACUGGUUGGUAAGCCAAUACCAUAACUCAAAAUUAAUACAAUGGGUUACCUUCGUAGAAAUGUCUAAUAUGGACCCUAUAUAAAAACAUAAUAUAACAAUAGCAUUCCACAACCUAAGACGACCAAUAUUCAAAUAUCAUUCCUAGGACCUUAUAGUAUUAGUAUAAGAACAUAUUGAUUCUACAAUAGGAAUUUACAACUUAAAGUCUAAUGUGUCAUCAAUAAUCUCAUACAUUUGUCUAAAAAAUAAAAGACAAAUUAAGAUAGAGGGAAAGANNNNNNNNNNNNNNNNNNNNNNNNNNNNNNNNNNAGGGUCAACGUGGCAUGAUCUUGACUCAAUGACUGCAUCUAGAACUUGGGUCUUCACCAAUAAGGUAUAGAGGCACAGUAUGAAUGCGAAAACAUGAGUACAUAGUAGGCAUCAUCGGUCGACUAAGCUAAAUCAUAAUAUAAAGAUGAUAUAAGGUAAGUCAAUAACUUAAAGUCAAAGUACAGAAUCAAACAUAAAUCUUCUUUGAUACCGCUGUAUAAAAUAACUAAUCUACUAGGGUAAUAGCAUAACAUACCAUAUCAAUACGUACCAUAUUCGUCCUAUAAAUGAGUAAUCAUUUUUGAAGUGUAAAGCCAUAUAUAUGCAAUAAUAACCAUACACUUACCUUAAUCAACACCAACUUUAAUUAGAAGAUAAAGUGCAAGAACUUACCACGAUGUCCCAUACCGCGGGGAAGUACAUGCAAAGAACAUAACCAAGAACUCAUCACAGUGUCCCAUACAACUGGAGAGUACACCACAAGAAUACUAUAUAAAGAACCCAUCAUGGCAUCCUAUACCACUAGAGAGUACACCAAAAUAUAAACCAAUAAUAUAUCAAUGCAAUACUACACCAUAACUAACUACAGUCACAGGAAACACAACCCCGCCAUAGCUCAUUUCUAAGGUCCAUAAUCAUCAUCAAUAUCGCAAUUUAAUCACUAUGAAACCAAUAACGACAUAACAUAGUUAUAUAGUUACUUAUUCUCUAACUCUUUAAUAAAUAUUGAGAUUACUCUAUAAUAGUUAAAUUCAUUUACAUAAGCCACUAGAUUAUAAGCCUUAUUUUUAAAAGCCAUCACUUAAAGGAAAAUCUACAAGUUACGAUUGUUAUUAUUUAUUCACCCCUUACAAUGCCAUUCUCGAGUUAGAAUUCUCAUUAAAUAAAUCCUUAAUUAAGCCACCAUGACAUCACGUGCUAGAUGCCAACUUAACUUUUUAUAAUACAAUAAGGAGUCUAUUAUUAUUGAUCAUGUUACAGCCUUAAGGACUAGUUUCCAUAUUUUAAUGAAGUAAGGUCCACCAAAUAGUUCACUAGGCUUUUAUCCUACAAGUCAUAAUCAUUUAUUAGAAAUAACUAGUUAUUACAUAAGCCACUUUACUUGGAAAAAUUCCAUAACAUAACUAUUAAUUCAAGUCAAGUAGAUUUACUAGGUGAGCCUUUGGCUCUAUAAAAGAUUACACAUACCAAUUAGCCUUAGCCCAAUAAUAGGUAUAACUUACCUCUAGUUACCAAUUAGAGUCAACAACGUCCACACCUCUUAUUUAGUAAAAAGGGAUAAGGAAUGAACAACAAUUACUAUGUAAGACAUCAUGUCCCACAUACAUAAGGGUUUUGGCCCCACACAGACAACCCUCAUUAUGUAUUCAAGUAUUUAUGUAAAUUAUGCCCACACGGCAUCGUAACAUCUUUACAUUUUCUAGACUUAUCAGGCUUUAUUAUAGCAUCAAUAUAUACUUUAGAUUUAGCAGGCAUCAUCAUAACAUUAACAUAUCCUCUCUAUUCACUGGGCAUCAUCAUAACAUCAACAUAUCCUCUAGAUUCUCCAGGCGUUAUCAUAAUAUUAACAUAUCUUAUGGACUCACUGGGCUUCCUCAUAACAUUAACAUAUCCUCCAAAUUUACCGAUCAUCAUCAUAUCAUCAUUGCCUCUUUUGAAUUCACCAGGCAUAAUCAUACCAUUCAUAUAUAUAGUCAAAUCAAUAAACAUAUACAAGCCAAAAUAGUAGAGCAGGGAUAUAAGGUCACAUAUACCAUCUUACUUUACUAUUAACCAUCACAACAUAAUGUGGGUAUAAGAAUAAGCAUGCAUAUCUAAAUGAUAUACAUAAUCAACACUUUUCAAGGUUAUCCAUAUCACGACCACAAGAAACUAAUCAAGUAUACACAUUAUCCAACCAUUAACCACAUGCAUAAUGCGACGAUCAGGUUUUACCAUAAUAAUCUCAUUAACAUAAUUUAUAGCAUCAUAAAGUGUCUAUGUCUCUAAAGGAUUUCAUAUUUAAAGCUUACGGCGGGUCAAGUCCCACUUCUAAAUUUCAAGAAUGGCAAAGUUCACUAUCAUAAUAUUAACAUCUACCCAUAUUUAGGCAAUGUUAUCUAAAUCACACCAUAAGAGAUUAUCAUUCCUUACUAAGCCUAUAGGGGAAUUCUUCUUCAAGCAUUCUUUUUAAGUCAACCCAAAUACCAAGGCCAUUUCUUAACUAAGAAAUAUCUUGGAAAACAUAUCCUUAAGGAUAGGGAGAAACAUUAUUCUCAUAUAUUAGAGAAACUAAAGUAUUCUCCUACUAUUCACGAAACUCCUAGUAGAACUAUCCAUGGUUCUAAGCUAUGGGUCAAGCAUCACACUUUGCAAGUUCAAUAACCAAUAAGAAUCAACUAAUCCCAAAUAUCACUAUUAAACAAUUUAUCAUCUAAACUCCACCCAAUCUCAUAAGAUAUCAAUAAUUAUACUACAAUCAAGGUCAAUCUAAUUACAAGUAAGCUAACCUACCUUCAGUCUAAGCAACUCACGAACCAACUAUCUUUGCCUUUUAUUUUAUUGAAGCUUCAUCCUUCAUGAGCCAAGACACCAAUACUACAAUCUAAGCAUUACAACAAUAAUGACAUUACCCAUUAUGGCACCAUUGUGCAAUGGGUUCAAAAAUGACACCAAACCCCCAUAUGGGUUCCACCUUCGAAAAAUAACUUUCCAAGGCCAACCCAUUGUUCAGCUAUCAGUAGGGAGUUAUAAACCUUAAGUGAUUUUAGUAAAUCAAUCACAUAUAGGGCUCAAUUUAUGUCUUAAGCCCUUUAGGGUUUUAGGUAUAGAAUUCAAGAAAUCAAUAACAACUAGAAGGAAUUUACCUUAACUUCGUUGUAAAAUAUGAUUACACAAGUUAUCCAACCUUCUAAUCAACCCAAAAUACUUACUUUACAGAUUUAUACUCUAUUAGGAUUUGUUGCUUUAGGGGGGGCACAAAAUGGCAAAAAUUUUGGGUAAGAAGCCCUUAAAUAGUCAUGCCCAGCCCUCAAAUCAUGUGGUCUCUCCCUCCACCUAGCUACAGUUAUGGCAUUACAGUCACACCCACAUCACCAAUAUUGUGGUAUCUCUUCCUAUGCCAGGCCGACGGAAGCUUAGAACUUAGUUUUGGGCUUUGGCCAAUGCCUCGAGAUGCAUCUGGAGUUUAAUUAAAGAAAAUAAGAUAUGUAGACAUUUAGAUUUCAAUGUUCCAAAUGCAUCGGCAAAGUCAUAUUUUACAUUUAAAGUCAUUUUACUAGAUUUUUUGCUUAGUGGUCAAUUAGGACCAAUGAAGACUACAAAUGUAGAAAGUGGCUCUAAAACCAAAAGAUCAGCCAGGUAACUGAUCUAUCAGUUUCAACAAGUCACUAAUGAAUUUGGGUAGCUAUAGAGAAGCCCUAUUGGAAAGAUAAACUAGAAUAUGGAUGACCUAAAGGGUUAUUACACUUUCCCUCAAUUCACUUUCUUAAUAGUCGCCUACAUACCCCUUCUCUCCCUCUAUUUAAUUACCUAUCAUCUCUUCUUUAUCUUUAUCCCUUUAAAAUCCAUAUCCACCCUUCCCCCAUGACUAGAACUCAUUCCAUGGCCAGUGUUUCAAAAUCCCUUCCUAAAUCUUGCUCUGACAGGCCUAUUCUCUUCUUUGAGUCUUUUGAUGAAUCCUCAUAAUAUUCUCAAAAGUCUACUCUUAUCAAAAGAUGUCAUCCCACUCCCAUCCCAGCCCUUUCUACUAUAAAGCCUCAAACUACCUCUCUAAAUUCCUUACCUCUGAGGAUAUGCACGUGUUCUUAACAUUCUCUCAGACAAAAACAUUUAUGCCUAUAAAUACAGCUCCAUUAUGCCCGGUCUCACUAUCAAUCUUGGUCAAUUGAAAUAUACCUUAUGUAAUAUUAGUCACUUUUUAAAGUUUUAGAUUUCUCACUGAUCUUUCAUCUCUGGGAACUUGGGGUUUAUGAGGAUCUAGUCUAUAUUUUUAAGGUAAAUCUCCAUCUCUCUCCUAAUAGUGGUGAACUUGAGACUCUUGUGCUUUGCACAAGAAUCAUUUUGAAUAAUUUUCAAUUUGAGAAGGUUUUUUACACAAAGUUAUUUGUUUUAAUUUCUUUGAUGAAUGAUACAUGUUCCAAAGACUUUGAGGUGAUUUUUGACAAAGAAAUAAGAAUGCUAUAUGACUCAGACACAGCAUCGUCCAAUUUUGGUCCUCUAUCCCUAUGUUUAAAGUAUCACAUCAUGGCCCAUAUAAUCUCGGCUAUACUAAUUUCAAGAAAGGGAUCCCUCAGCAAUAUCACUUAACAUAAUAUAAUUGUCCUAUACUAUCCGAUUAAGAAACAUAAGAUCAAUUGGCCAAUCAAAAUUUGAGAGUAUAUACUUGAAAGUGUAGUAGAUAUUUAUGUCUCUGCUAGUUUACUACAUGGUCUGUUAAUUUCUUAGAUUCUAUUGUACUACUCUAUUGAUCUCUCUACUUACCCUUUGUUGAAAGUCUAAAACACCCUGGAUUUCUAGACCUUAGAAAAUUUCCUAGAUUUCUGGUCUUUGGAUUGCAUACAACUAGGGGAAAUAACUCGUAUACUAGGAUUAAAGUGGUAUGGGUUAGUGUAUACUGACCAGUGUUGGUUCGUAGAUUGGAUUUGGUUUUGGGAAUGGAUACGACUUGGGUAUUAUGAGUCCUAUCGAUAGACACGUGCAUUUUGGUUUGGAUAUUUUCUUCAAUUAAUCUUAGAAUUUGUAGACUAAGUUAAAUUUGAGUAUGAUUUUCUCAUAAUGAGUAGUAAGCUAAGGUACGAGUCAUACCAUGGACUCGUAUGGUGGGCAAUUUUUAAUCCUUUUUAGAUUUUAUUCUACUAGGGGUACGUAUCAUGGGUACAAGUAGUAUGAAUGGAUACAAUAUGGUUUAGGGUGAUUUGUACCUUGUACAGUGUUGGUUCAAAGAAAGAUGGCCUUGGAUACGACAGGUGGGUACCACUUGUAUUGGAGGGUACGACUGGUAUAAAUAGUCGUAUCCCUCUAAUAGGAUUUUGGUGUAGUUUAAGUAAGGCAAUCUUUACAUUUCUCCCACUUAACCUAAUGUGGCCCCAUGAUUUUUAACUCACUUGUGUAAAGAAAGCUUGGGUUUCAGGUUAAGGAUUAACUUAGGGCUUAUGUUGGUUAUUUCUCUUCAUUAUGUUCUUGGUUUAAGGCAUGUUCUCUACCCUUAUUGUUAGUUACAACAAAAGGCAUGGUUUUAUAGAAUAUUUUCAUGGUUUGAUUAUUGUAUGAUUUUGGAUUUUCAAAUAUAAUUUGGCGGUUUUGUUAUAAAUGCUUGGUUAUGGUUUUCCAUGCUUUAAUUACACAUUUAUAUUCUUUAAUGGUCUUUUUUUGAUAAUUGAUUAUAUACGAAUAUUUACUUUGUAAUUUGCUUUAGUUUGGGAAAUAAUAUGCCCCAAAUGUGUUUGAUAAAAUGCAUAUGAGAAUGUUUUCACUACAUUAUAGUAUUUUUAAUGGAACUUAUGCAUGGUUUAAACUAGGUAGUGGAACCCUAAAUUAUUAAAUGGUUUGGAAUGGUCAAAAUAGAAUGGUUUUGGGUUUAACAAUCAUUCUUGCAGGGUACAAUGGAGUCCCCCAAGUUAUCAUAAUAAUUGAACACUUAUGGGGUACAUGGGACUCUCCCAAGUUAAUUGGAUAGUGUAAUCUAUAGGUACAUGGGAAUCCCUUGAGUUCUAAAAGGUUUGGCUAAGGACAAUACUUGCAAUUUAUAGGUUGUAUGAUAUAACACUCUGUAUAUCCUCAUUUUAUAACAAUGGUUUGGUUGUAUGGAAAUGGUUUUAAUUAGAUAAUAAAGGAGAUGUGUGACAGCUCACCAUGAAGGCAGGAGUCUAACAGAUUAACACUGGAAACUCAUGUUUGUCUACAUGAGGUGUAGAUCAUGGUGACUUUAUAUAAUACUAUAAGGUACAUAAAAAUCCUAUAAGUAGAUUGUACAUAUGUAUCAUUAAGGGUGAAGGGUACUUAGGUAUUCCUUACUCUUAUGGUAUCUCUAGUUCAUAAGGCUACAUGCAUCGGGGCUAUUUUAGGGGGGUUACACUAGACCCAUAUAGACUGUGGGUGGAUAAGGAUCAUUAAGCUAUACAUACCCAUAAUAAUAGUUUUAAAUGUAUGGUAAUCCCGAUUCGCUUUCCUAGCACGAUUAUAUAUUAUAUGUAUGGUUUGUAUGCAUUUGGAUAGGUUACUUGGUUUAUUUAAAUAUAAUUAUUUUAUCAUUAUCCUAUGUUUAUGCUAGAGUUCACUCGCUAACCUACUUUUGGCCAGCUCUAUCACCACGCGAUGCAGGAACCAACUGUUUUACUCCUCCUGCUUAGAGAUCGAACUUUGAGGUCAGCUAUUAGAUUGAAGUGGUGAGCUUCUAUCUUCCCGGAAGGCUCUAUUUCAUGGAUUUUAUUUCAUACUUUAGUUUAUUUAUGGAUAUUAGUUUUGUCUAUUUUUUGGGGUAUGUCCUGACCAGAUUUUGCCAUUCUUUUUGUUAGAGGCUUUUGUGGAACUACUAUGGGUUGGCAUGGGUGGGAUCGAUAUUGGUGUCAGCCUUGGUAUUGGCAUUGGUACUGGGGCUGAUACCGUAGGACUAAAUUUCUCACUUUUCUAUCCACUUUUAUUUUGGGAUUAUAUAAUUAUUAUGGAACUCAUAUGGUUAUGGUUUACGAUACGGUUCUAUUGGUAUUGGUUAUUAGUUGAGUAUCAAACAAUUGGACUCAUUUGGCUAGUCGUGAAUAUAGACCUAUCCUAGCAUUUUUUAUUACACAAAAAUGUUAUCUUGUUAUAUAUUCAAAAUUGAUUUGACUUAGGAUAGGCAUAGGUGGUCUCCAUUCCUAGUUGGAUUUGGGAUACCUAUUAUGACAAGGCCCUGGUUUGGGUCCAGUGAAAGUUAUUGCUACUUAUAACGUCAAAAGUUUUCCUAUUAUGGGCUAUAUUUUAGUUGAUAAUGAAUGGUGUAAGAAGGAUUCUGCUCGUGCAAAUCUGAACUCCCUAAGUUAAGAAAGUCUAUUUCUAACCCCAUGAUAUUUGUGUUGAGGGAAAUAGAUGAAAUCAAAGAUUGCAUAAAUGCUUUGAGGAAGGAAUCCAACUAUUAGAGUCGACUUCCAAACUUUUGGACCUUGGGAAGUGUACUAGCACUGACAUAGGUGUGGUUCGGUUGGCCCUUAGAGGGUUUAGAUAAAAAGGCACCAAAUUGAUCAGUCGAAUGUUCACCCGUAUGGACUCCCUCAAGUCCCAAGUCAACUCCUCCAAUGAUGAUCCUUUUAUUUCCACUUAGAACUCCUUCUCAUCCUUCUUAAACAAUUGUGAGAAAUUUUCCAUAACAUGCAAAUACCCUAACAUACUGUCUAGUUAAUCGGUGUAUGAUGACUUUUUUUUCAAAAGGGGGUCUUGUUUCUUAUUUUUGAUGGGUUGUAAGAUGAUAUUUUUAACACAAUAUAUGCAAACUUUCUUUGUUUUUAUGAAGACCUUGGUACUUAAUUAGAUUAUAUCUCUGAUAUAUGUCUACUAUUCAUGCUAAUAUGUUCUUUUUUAUUAUACCAAAAGAGGGAGAAAGACAGAACCUACAAUUCAGGGGUAACAUGUCAUUUAUUAAUAGUAAAGAGUUGAUUGAUGCUCAAGGUAAAAAAGAACAUUGGAAGAACCUACAAGUAAAUGGGAGCAAGCCGACUACUGCGAUAGAGAAGUCAACAUAUGUUUAAUUCUUGUUUAUCAUUAUCAAAAGGGUGAAAUUAUUAGCCUCCUAGAUUUACUGUCUAGGUUUUAUUAAUGACAAACUAAUGAGUGGACAUUUGAACAAUAUUAAAAAUCUCUAAUGAUGAAAGGAGAAGAUACUAAAGAUAUACAAAAGAUGUAGAAUAUCUAAGGAAGUAAUUCAAGAUAUCCAAGAAUAUCUCACAAACAUCCAAGAGUAAGAUGGUUGGCGCUUAACUUGGAACAAUAUAAAUCAUACAAAAUCAAUUAAAGAUUUCCAAGAAAAUCUCACAAAGAAAAGUAAGCAUCCAACAGAAACCUAAGCAAAAGGAAAGAAGAUCACGGAUGUAUAUGAUAUAGGUGUGUAUAAGUAUCGUGUAUAAACAUAUUUUAUUUGGACAUAAUAUAUGGUAACAUUCCUCAAUCAAGGAAUCAAAUCAAAUCCUUUAUUUGGAUUCAUCUCUUGGGUUUCCUUAUCAAGAAAAGCUCUUGAAGGAUAUAAAAUAGAGGACUAAAGAUUUAAUCACUCACGCAACUUCAAGGAAAAAUGUAAAAGUGUCUCAAUCUUAGUCUCACAAAGCUUUGUACUUCUUAGUUUAUAACAGUUAUAUAAAGAGUACGAUUGAGUCAACUUUGUAAUACAAUCUGAAGCUGUGUCACAAGAUUUGAAUAACAGAAUAAUUCUUUAGAACUUAUUUCUCAUCAUUAUACUUGAGCCCAACUUUCAAAUAUCUAAGGAAACAUUGAAACUCAAGGGUAAAGGAAGUAGGCACCACAUUGGUGUUCUGAAAAUGGAUAAAUCUUCAUUUCCUUAAUUUAAAGUUGAUUAUUUAUUUUUCAAUUUAUUUAAAUCUAAUUUUUUUUAUGAAGUGUACUGAUCUGUAGGAAAGUCAAUUAUGACGAGUCAAUAUUCGACUCACAGAAAAUUUUCAAUUUACCCCCUCUUUAAUUUCAGUAAGUAAAUAUGUAAUUUGAGAUAAGAAUGCAAAGAUUUAGUUUGGAACACUAAUGUGGUUCCUAUUUCCAUUCCCUUUGGGUUUAAAGUUUCUUUAGAUCUUUUCAAAGGUAGAGUUUGAGUACAAUGAUGGUGAACAAGUUAUGAAAACUUUAUUUUUUUUAUCUUGUGACACAGCCUUAAUAGGUUUGACAAAGUAAACUCGAUCUUAUUCUUGUGUAACUACUAUAAACUCGAUCUUAUUCUUGUGUAACUACUAUAAACAAAGAAGUACAAAGCUUUGUGACACUAAGUUCUAGACAUAAUAAGAUUCUCCCUUGAAGUUACAUCAGCGCAUCAAUCUUUAGUCAUCUCUUUUAUAUUCCUCAGUUGCUUCGGCUUCUAUUCUUAUAAUGAAACCUCAUAGAUUUACUAUCAAUAAAGGAUUUCAAUUGAUUCUAUGAUUGAGGUAUGGAACCAUAAAGUAUGACCAUAUCAGAUAUGUCAAUACUUGGUGCAGCCUUCACACUCAUACAUGUCUAUAUCAGAUAUUUCCAUAUAGAGGGUGUGGCCUUGUUUCCUUUAGCUUUUGUCUUGAUUAAUUCAUUUUCCAUAAAUCUAAGAAGUUGAUGAUCUUCGUGUUUGAUAAUUUUCCAAUCUCAGUGCUGGCUUUCUUAUGAGUGAAUGCUUGCUUCCUUUCUUCGAUAUUCUGGAUUGAUUCCUUAAGGAUCUUUUUGAUCUUCUAUAUCUUUAGUAUAGCCUACAAGAUAUUUGUUUAUUAGUUUAUCCUUAUUAACACAUACUAUGAGAAUAUAAGGCUAACAAUCUCCCCCUUUUAGAUAAUGACAAAUAAUAAACAUUAUUUAACUUCCCUAUUUUUUGUUGACUUGCAAAAAACUAUAAUGUUACUAUUUUCUUUGAGCAUCAGUUGAAUCUAAUUCUUUGAUAGUCGACUUGCUCCCCCUGACUUGAAAUUACAUCUGAUUAUCCUUCUUUCUUUGAGCAUCAAUUGACUCUCAUCUUUUAAUAGUUGACUUAAUUCCCCUGACUUGCAAGCACCUCUAUGUUCCUGCUUUCUCACCAUUUUAUCAUAAUAAAAAAGAACAGCAGAUAGGUAAAAAGAAUUAAUAGACAUAUAGCAUGUAAACAGGCAAAUAAAUAACCAAAGGACUAAAUAAAAUAAAAAGUGAGAUAGUCAAUAUGUGAAAAUCAUUUUUCAACAAAAAAAGGAUAGGACCCACUUUUGAAUAGUAGUCAUCAUUCAACGUUUGUCCAGGAAGUAUGUGAGGAUAUUGUACAUGUUAUUGCUGAAUCGCUCAUAAGACUUUUCAACAUUUUUUUAGGAGAAUUUGAAGUUCUAGAUGGAUAUUGCAAGGUCAUUAUUAUAAGAGUUGACUUUAUACUUGAUGGAAUCCAUGUGAGCAAACAUUUUAGUGAACAACUUGAUGCCUUCUUGCUUGAAUUCAUAAAUUGUUAGUCGUACCUUGCCUAUAUUGGUGCUCGUACUCUUCUAAAGAUCUAGAAGCUUGGAAGUCGACUCGUGAAGUAGCAUCACUCAUUCCUCAAUAGUUUUUAAGAGUUCUUUCAGCUUCUUUAAAUCCUACAACAUAGAAAGCAUGGGGUUAGAAACUGACUUGCUCAACUUGGGGGGAUCUGAUUUUGCUCGGGCAGAGUCCUUUUUGCACCAUUCAUUUUCUACCAAAACAUUGCCCAUGCUGGCAAAGUUUUAGAGUCAUAAGUAGAAGAGGCUUCCAUCGGGGGAUAUAUAGAGAGGUUAGUAUAGAAAUAUUAGAGAAUCGAGAUAAUCAGAUGGAGAUAAUGCAGGAAGGUUGAGGCAUGAGCAUUAGCAGUUCUUCAGACAUAUAUUCACAAAACUAAUUAGCCCAAUUUUUGUUGUGUUUCUUAACCAUGUAAUAUAUGACAAACAUAUCAUGGCAGGUUAUGUUACUGAGGGAGCCCUUUGUUGGGAUAAGUGUGGUGGAGAUUAUAUUGGCCCUUAUAUGGCACUUAAUGUAGAGUGACAGGGGACAAAAUCUAGGAGACAUUAUGUCCGGGUCGGACAAGGUCUUUUUUGCUUCUUCAAAGAUAACUUCAAAAUCAUUGAGCUAUGAUCUUUUUAUAAAGGGAUUGGGACAAAGAACUUUGUAUCAAACACCCUAACAAAAAAUCAUUGAGCUUGAUCCUUGUGCCAAGAACAAUAGUAUCUAAUUCAUUGAUGUUGGGAGAGAGACGAAGAUUGUCAUAGAAUAUUUGAACAUGAUCCUCAUAAAGUUCAAGGCUAGACAAAAAACUAGUGACAGGUCUUGAAAUUUGAAGAGGUGAUUAAUAUUACAAUUAGCUUUCUUUAAUUGAUAGAGAUUUAAUACUUUAUCGGGUACCGCAGAUCGACUUUUGAUGGUAGUGAACUUUUCUUUUUGUGAGUAAAUGCAAAACUUAUGCAUGUCUUCUAGAGAAAAAGAAUCUAUAGGGUUUGAAUGAGGUUUCUUGAUAGAUAAUGUUGGACUAGGGGAAGGAUAUACUUUGGUAGUAGUUAACUGUCGAGUGUUGGAUGAAGAUUCAUUAGAGGAUUCAAAUAUAAGGACAAAAUUAUUAGAGUGAGGGUAUGGAAGGGACAUGGAUAGAUUUUUCAUGGAGAGAGUUCUAGUCAUUAGAGGAAAGUUUCAAACAAAGGUUUUAAAAGAAUUAACAGAGAGAUGAAGAGAUAGAUAUAUGAAGACAGGUGAAUGAAUCGAGAGAAAAAUGAAAAGAGGUGAAGUAAAUGUGGGGACUACUAAGGUGAAAGGAUGGCAGAAGAGGUAUUGGGAAGAUAAAAAGGUAGGGAGGCGGUAAAGGUUGCCUAAAAAAGGAAGAGUAAUGAUGACACUUUUUCCAACAAUGUUUUUCCAAAAUUAAAAAGAGUAAUAAAUAAUAAGUCUGUUAAAAGGAUUUUGUCAAAAAAUAAAACUUAUGAGUCAUUAAAGUUGAUAAUACCAAGUUUUUUUCAAAGAAAACAAAAUCUUUCUUCUAACAGGGGUUUCGUAAAAAUAUUUACCAAUUAAUUUUUGGAAUCAACAAAUAUUAGGGAAGAAUCACCAUUUUCUACAUGAUCUCCAAUAAAAUGAUAUUUAAUAUCAAUGUGUUUAUCCCUAGAAUGAUGCAUGGUAUAUUUAGACAAACUAAUAACACUAGUGUUAUGAAACAUUAUAGAUGUAUAUUCAAUAGAAAAAUGAAAAUCAAAUAGUUGACAUAUAAUCCAUUAAAUUUUUGUAUCACAACUUCCAACAUCCUUGUAUUUGUCUUCAUUUGGUGAUAGAGCAACUAAAGUUUUCUUGUUGUUGUGCCAUGAAAUUGGGGCAUCACCAAUAAUUUGGCAUGUUCCACUUUUGAUUUUUAUAUCAUUGCUAUCGCCCAUAAAGUCAACAUCUUAAUAUCCAAUUAAGUCAAAAUGAGAGGAGCGAGGGUGCCACAAGCCAGUAUCCUAUGUUCUAAAGAGAUAUCAAAUGAUUCUUUUAACAAUAGCCAGAUGGGACUCUUUAGGAGCCGAAUGGAACCUUGUACACUU